AUCUGUGCUCUUUGAUUACAGUUGUUCAACCAGUUACUAAUCUAACUAAUUGUAACUGGUUGAACAACUGAACCCAAAGGGUGCAAAGUAUAAACAUU
ensembl:miRNA MIR582 microRNA 582